rnacentral:rRNA from 1 species
AUGAAUCUUGAUGAAACUGAAGAUUAUCUUCCUUUACCUAGAAGGCGUUCUAAGAAUUCGGAGUUUCUAGAUCUUGAUGAUGAAAUUGAUGAAAGUGGGAUUGAAAGAAAUAAAAACCUAGAUGUUUCUAAACCCACUAUUUUGGAUCUCAAGGAAUUUAAUUAUGAAAAUUUCUCUUUGAUUGGUUGUAUUUCCUUGUUGCAAUCCGUGCUAGAUUCUCCUCAUGCUUAUAGUCAAAAUAAGGCCUUUACCGAACACAUUGUUGAUGCCUUGAUGCAAUCUUAUGAAGAAAAACUUGAGUUGAAAGUUUCUAUCCCUAGAAAACUCUAUGAUGAGUGGGAAAAUACUAUUAAAAUUAAAAUUAAAAAUUAUGAUUUUCAUGCUUUGUGUGAUUUGGGUGCUAGUGUCUCUACUAUUCCCAAAGCUUUGUGUGAUUUGCUAGAUUUCCAUGAUUUUGAUGAUUGCUCUCUAAACUUGCAUCUUGUGGAUUCCACUAUUAAAAAACCGAUGGGAAGAAUUAAUGAUGUUCUUAAUGUUGCAAAUAGGAAUUAUGUGCCCGUAGAUUUUAUCGUUCUUGAUAUAGAUUGCAAUCCUUCAUGUCCUAUUAUUCUUGGUAGACCUUUCCUUAGAACGAUUGGUGCAAUUAUUGAUAUGAAGGAAGGGAAUAUUAGAUUCCAAUUUCCCUUAAAGAAGGGCAUGGAAUACUUCCCUAGAAAGAAAAUAAAAUUACCAUAUGAAUCUAUCAUGAGAGCCACUUAUGGAUUGCCUUCCAAAGAUGGCAAUACCUAG